rnacentral:lncRNA from 1 species
AUCAUUUUACCCAUCCCAUUGGUUGUAUUAUCUUGUUUAUGGAUUUUGGGAUGGUAUUCAUGGUUUCCAAGGCCUCCGAGAAGGUUUUGGGUGAGUUGACGUCAUUUUUAGACUUUUAAGAGCUUAUGGUUGAAUUUGGCCAGUAUAUAAAAAAUUCGAGUGGCGAAUGUCAAAAUGGACCGUGCAAGCAAUUCUCGAAUAUCAAAAUUAUGUUUGCAGAGGAGUUGGUAUGAUUUUUUGGCUUUUUGAUCCUAUUUCGACCCUUGAUUAUAAAAUACUAUAAAUACGGUCUCCGGGGUAGAUUUUGUGAUAAAGAACUUUAUGCAUAGUUUGAUGAUUCCAUUAGAUCCAGAACAUGUUUUAGAAUCAAAUUUCAUUAUUGUACCAUUUUCAUAGGUUUCCAAAUGAGGUUAGGAGUAAAAAAUGA